rnacentral:rRNA from 1 species
UGGGAGCUCCCUUUGGGGUGUGACUGCGUACCUUUUGUAUAAUGGGUCAGCGACUUAUAUUCUGUAGCAAGGUUAACCGAAUAGGGGAGCCGGAGGGAAACCGAGUCUUAAUUGGGCGUUAAGUUGCAGGGUAUAGACCCGAAACCCGGUGAUCUAGCCAUGGGCAGGUUGAAGGUUGGGUAACACUAACUGGAGGACCGAACCGACUAAUGUUGAAAAAUUAGCGGAUGACCUGUGGCUGGGGGUGAAAGGCCAAUCAAACCGGGAGAUAGCUGGUUCUCCCCGAAAGCUAUUUAGGUAGCGCCUCGUGAAUUCAUCUCCGGGGGUAGAGCACUGUUUCGGCUAGGGGGCCAUCCCGGCUUACCAACCCGAUGCAAACUGCGAAUACCGGAGAAUGUUAUCACGGGAGACACACGGCGGGUGCUAACGUCCGUCGUGAAGAGGGAAACAACCCAGACCGCCAGCUAAGGUCCCAAAGUCAUGGUUAAGUGGGAAACGAUGUGGGAAGGCCCAGACAGCCAGGAUGUUGGCUUAGAAGCAGCCAUCAUUUAAAGAAAGCGUAAUAGCUCACUGGUCGAGUCGGCCUGCGCGGAAGAUGUAACGGGGCUAAACCAUGCACCGAAGCUGCGGCAGCGACACUCAGGUGUUGUUGGGUAGGGGAGCGUUCUGUAAGCCUGCGAAGGUGGCCUGUGAGGGUUGCUGGAGGUAUCAGAAGUGCGAAUGCUGACAUAAGUAACGAUAAAGCGGGUGAAAAGCCCGCUCGCCGGAAGACCAAGGGUUCCUGUCCAACGUUAAUCGGGGCAGGGUGAGUCGACCCCUAAGGCGAGGCCGAAAGGCGUAGUCGAUGGGAAACGGGUUAAUAUUCCCGUACUUGGUGUUACUGCGAAGGGGGGACGGAGAAGGCUAUGUUGGCCGGGCGACGGUUGUCCCGGUUUAAGCGUGUAGGUGUGUGUUCCAGGUAAAUCCGGUUCACUUUAACACUGAGGCGUGACGACGAGGCACUACGGUGCUGAAGCAACAAAUGCCCUGCUUCCAGGAAAAGCCUCUAAGCAUCAGGUAACAUCAAAUCGUACCCCAAACCGACACAGGUGGUCAGGUAGAGAAUACCAAGGCGCUUGAGAGAACUCGGGUGAAGGAACUAGGCAAAAUGGUGCCGUAACUUCGGGAGAAGGCACGCUGACACGUAGGUGAAGUGAUUUACUCACGGAGCUGAAGUCAGUCGAAGAUACCAGCUGGCUGCAACUGUUUAUUAAAAACACAGCACUGUGCAAACACGAAAGUGGACGUAUACGGUGUGACGCCUGCCCGGUGCCGGAAGGUUAAUUGAUGGGGUCAGCGCAAGCGAAGCUCCUGAUCGAAGCCCCGGUAAACGGCGGCCGUAACUAUAACGGUCCUAAGGUAGCGAAAUUCCUUGUCGGGUAAGUUCCGACCUGCACGAAUGGCGUAAUGAUGGCCAGGCUGUCUCCACCCGAGACUCAGUGAAAUUGAACUCGCUGUGAAGAUGCAGUGUACCCGCGGCAAGACGGAAAGACCCCGUGAACCUUUACUAUAGCUUGACACUGAACAUUGAGCCUUGAUGUGUAGGAUAGGUGGGAGGCUUUGAAGUGUGGACGCCAGUCUGCAUGGAGCCGACCUUGAAAUACCACCCUUUAAUGUUUGAUGUUCUAACGUGGACCCGUGAUCCGGGUUGCGGACAGUGUCUGGUGGGUAGUUUGACUGGGGCGGUCUCCUCCUAAAGAGUAACGGAGGAGCACGAAGGUUGGCUAAUCCUGGUCGGACAUCAGGAGGUUAGUGCAAUGGCAUAAGCCAGCUUGACUGCGAGCGUGACGGCGCGAGCAGGUGCGAAAGCAGGUCAUAGUGAUCCGGUGGUUCUGAAUGGAAGGGCCAUCGCUCAACGGAUAAAAGGUACUCCGGGGAUAACAGGCUGAUACCGCCCAAGAGUUCAUAUCGACGGCGGUGUUUGGCACCUCGAUGUCGGCUCAUCACAUCCUGGGGCUGAAGUAGGUCCCAAGGGUAUGGCUGUUCGCCAUUUAAAGUGGUACGCGAGCUGGGUUUAGAACGUCGUGAGACAGUUCGGUCCCUAUCUGCCGUGGGCGCUGGAGAACUGAGGGGGGCUGCUCCUAGUACGAGAGGACCGGAGUGGACGCAUCACUGGUGUUCGGGUUGUCAUGCCAAUGGCACUGCCCGGUAGCUAAAUGCGGAAGAGAUAAGUGCUGAAAGCAUCUAAGCACGAAACUUGCCCCGAG